CAGCCGCCACGGUAAUACGAAGGGGGCUAGCGUUGUUCGGAAUCACUGGGCGUAAAGUGCACGUAGGCGGAUUUUUAAGUCAGGGGUGAAAUCCCGAGGCUCAACCUCGGAACUGCCUUUGAUACUGGAGAUCUUGAGUUCGGAAGAGGUUGGUGGAACAGCUAGUGUAGAGGUGAAAUUCGUAGAUAUUAGCUAGAACACCAGUGGCGAAGGCGGCCAACUGGUCCGACACUGACGCCGAGGUGCGAAAGCGUGGGGAGCAAACAGGAUUAGAUACCCCCGUAGUCCCUGUCUCUUAUAC
rnacentral:rRNA from 1 species